UGUAAUAUCAACCCUCACGGACCCCGCAGAUCCUGCGGUCGAGAGUCGGUCUCCCCACUCAUAAUUGACGGUGGAGAUCUCAGCAGAGGUCUUGCGGGACCUUGGGCUCCGAUUCUUCUCCCAAAUGUUUCCGAGAGCAACGGAAACGGAGGGGAAGGCACGAAAGAGCCAAAGGAAAUUUUGAGAGAGAGAGAGAGAGAGAGAGAGAGAGAAUCCAUAGCGCAUGGAUCAGAUAUAGCAGCAACCAGACAGUCGGAAAAUUCUCAGGUUAUGGCCGUAAAUUUCAAGUUCAGGAGCUCCGUCGACUUCGGGUCCGUCGACAUCGACGGCCCCUCCAUCUCCGUUUCCGACCUGCGGGCGAAGAUAGUGGAGAAGAAGAAUCUCAAGGUUUGCAGGGAUUUCGAUCUCGUCAUAUCCGAUGCGCAGACCGGAGAAGUGUUAGAAGACGAGAAUUACCGCAUUCCAGCGGGUGCGAACGUGAUCAUAAAGAGGGUGCCGGCAGCAAGAGCAAAUAAAAAUGAUGAUUUGCUGCUCAGCGACACUGCCAACAGACGACCAGCUUUAAGAUGUGAGACUCUUGCUUCCACACGACGAUCUUCACCUUCUUCUAAUGUUGAUAUGGAUAACUUUGAUGACUUUGGCACCGAUUUGUAUACAGCACCUGAGACUUCCUGCUUGGGCACAGACUUCGAUGAAGACAAGCUAAAAUGCAUAGAUAAUGAAGAGACAGACAAUGCAGCUCAUAGAAUUGUUCCAGAGCCUUUCUUAAGAUGCCAGGACCUUAAAGCAGAGAAAGAUCAUGUUCUGAAAGAUUGUGCUGUGGAAAAGGAAAGUGUAGUGCAAGCAAAUUUAGGUCUUGUGCCAAAAGAUGUGAAGCUUGAUAAAUGCAUCAGAGCAGCAGAUCAAUGUUAUUCCUUAUUACCAAAUGUAGAUUUGCCAUCAGAGUUGAAAUGCUCUCUGUGCAAAUCUAUUUUCAUGCAAGCUGUAAUGAUUCCAUGCUGUCAGCAUAGCUUCUGUGAGAAGUGCAUUCUUCUGGAAUUGGUUGAGAAGGCAAGAUGUCCCCAAUGUCUUUCUUCUCGCUGUAAAAUAGAUGAUUUGCUUCCAAAUUUAUCUUUGAGGCAAGCUAUUGAACAUUUUCUCGAGUCACAAAUAUUAAUUGGUGGCCUAGACAAUGGUCCUCAUAAGUGUCCACCUGAUGGAGAAUCUGGAAUCCAUGUGAAAGAGUCUUCUUGUGCUGUUUCCAUCCAUAAAGUGGACAAGCAGUUGGAGGAUUCUCCUUCAGCAACAGGAAGAGGAUCAAAUCAAGUGUGCACGGAAUCUGUUUGUGAAUCACUGGUCAGAGCGAAAGGUAUCUCCGCAGCACAAGGUUCACAUAUCAUUCAUAUAGAAGGUGGCAAAUGUGUUUCAACAGACUAUCAAAUGUAUAAUGGCAAGGAAUCCAAAAACUUAAACCAUGGUGGUGACUUUCUGCCUAGAAAGUUACGCCAAUCUGUCAUACAGAAGGAGGAAGAUGGAAGUGUUAACCUUGCUUGCUCCAGUAGAAACAGGAAGGGCGACCGACGAUGUUACACAUGUGGAUCUCCAGACCAUUUGGUAAAAGAUUGUCCUAUGGCCUCUGGUCCUAUCCCUUUGACUCAGUCAGGAGACCCUGUAUUUCCUGGUGGCAUGCCUGCUUAUGCUCAACCAUAUUACUGGCGUGGGACAUCAUUGCCUCAUGUUAGGCCCUUUACUAGCAUUUAUGGUACUCCUGGGGCAAUGCUAUUUGAUGCCAACAUGGUUCCAGUUUCUCCAUUCGGUGUUCCACCUUAUGUGCCACACAUGUAUGCUGGUCCACCACUGCCAUGUGGUUUCAUGACGAUGGGCAGCUUACCAUCACCUCUCAUGGCUGGAGCUGAGCGUCCCCUGACUCGAAAAGAAUUUAUGGAACUGCAAGGAGUUGAAAAGAGACAUAAGAUUAAGAAUGAACAGCUUGACAGGGAGUCAUUUGAUAAUGACCAUAUGGUGAACGAAUCACACCUUAAACGUCAAAGGAGAUCUGCAGACUUCAGAAAUGUGGAUAGGGAUUCUGCAAGGAGCUAUUCUGGAGGGAGUGAACAUAGGCGUAGUAAAAAAAGACAAAAAUCUGAUAGACAUUCUGGCAGCAUUGCUUGUGAGACAUCAGAUUUUCUAUCUGACGAUGAGGUUAUGCACUCACAGCCAAGAAGGAACCAUCAACACACAGCUUCUCUGAGGGAGAAUCUUUCUGACAAGUCAUAUUCAGAAAUACAAGAUAAAUCAGAAAGUUCUGGAUUUCAUAGUAAAGGAAAUGGAAGGCUAAGGCAUAAGUACAGAAAUUCCAAGAAGCACAGUGGAAGAAGUGAACAUUCUGAGAGAAAUUCACGUAGCCCUCCUGUAAAUAGUGGGAAGAGUCAGCACAGAAGCCGAAACGAACCCAAGCAAGAACUUGAAAGGCAUUCUCGGAAACAUCAUAAUCAUUCAAAAGCAGACAGACACCACAAUUUGUCAGUUGAUAGAGGCACUCGCCAGCAUUGUAGGCAUUUGGCAUCCACUUCUUCAAGUGAGCGAGGGACGAUUCAGCAGUGCAGACAGGAUAAUCCUGACGAAAGAGAUGUUCACAGUAGAAGACAUUCCAAGAACAAGUUAAAGACUGUGGAUGAUGAAACAGAAUAUGACAGAUGGGAGAUGGCGAAUGGUUCAGAUAUUGAUGAUGAAGGUGGCUACCACCACAAAGAGCACAAGAAGGCCCGUAGAAGUGUGGGUAGCAUUUAAGGGCAGUUACGACAGUAAUUUUUCAUCCACUUUACAGGGUUGUAGCAGUUGUACAUAUUUCCUUGCGGGAGAAGCUGUAAAUUCAAAAUGUCAGCCAGAAAACUUGGAGGUAGACCAUGUCCAAUGCCAUCAGACAUACUCUUUUAGGACACUUGUGAUCAUAUACAGGUCCAAUGGAAGGCAGGUAAAUAAGUUUUUGUAACCUAUGGUAUUUUCUGCCUUCACCGCAACCGCUCGUUGUAUGUUCUUAGUGUGGAAUAGGCUGAUCCACUUAUCUGGGGAUUGAAGAAAAGUUUAACGCUGAAUUUGGACAAUUUGGGCAGCAUCAUCUGCAAAAAAAAACUCUUAUCAGAGAUAGGAAGGUAUGCUCUCUUUUUCAUUUGUAUAAACGCAUUUGCUGUCUUUGUUCUUUCCUUCCGCAUGAGAUUGCGGGCAUGUGAUCGUGAAGGCCCAGCUCCUUUUGCUGGUGACUCAGCCUCAUGGACAUCACCAAGUUGAUGAGACGUCAUGAAAUCUGAGCGCAUGCCUCCUGCUGCAGGUCUUGAGAGAUUGGUCCGGACGGUAUUCCCUGGCGGGUAAGGGCGACCAUAGAGUUUCACGAACAUAAAACUCUGAUAAAGGUGGUUGUUCUUCCGUUAUUUUUAAACAAAAAAGGGUGUCUAUGCCAUAAGAACCAUAGGUUCAUUUACUCAAAACAUGGCCAGGGGUGCCAUUUUUGGAACCGAAGACAUCGACAAUAACACCCUUUAAAGGAAUUUGCUGGCACCGUCCUGCCUGGGACACGUUCAGCCCGAGGUUUAGCGGAUUUUAGUAUAUUUUGUUUCAACUGGGUUUCGAAAUGAACUAUUUUUGCAUUUUUCCAAAUGUUAGCUUGUUCUCUAUCUGGGUUUUCAGGAGACGCUUUUUCCCGGAUUGCAAAUGGGUCAGAUCUGGAUCAAGUAUGUUUUUCAUUUUAUGUUGUACCUGAUCCGAUUCUGGCAUGGCCUCUAAAGUAUUUUGCUGUUUCAACUGUUUGCGCCGUGCCGGAUCAGAACCGUUUGGAAUCCUAUCGGAGGGUUUGAUGCCUAGGCGGCGAGAAAAAUUUUCCAACCAAAUUGUAGGCGUUUAAGAGGCUUGCUCUAGCUCAGCAUCCUUAAACUGGAAAUUCUUGAAUCCUACAAAUAACUUGAUUUUCAAUUGUCCGAUUAUGUUGACACAGUACUUCACCCAGAAUUUUGAACUGUGGACCUUUUGUUAACUUACAAAGUGAUAGUUCAACCUCCUAUGAUGGACCAAGGGCUGGUCUGUUUCUUGUCUCUUUGGUGUUUUUGUUGCAGACUUUUGCUGCAGCAAAGUCAGCACAAUGGAAGUGCAAUAGUUGUGCACACACGAGUUGUAGUUAUUGUCAUUUCCUUUAUCAGAAACAAGAGUUGAAAACGAACAAAGGUCUCCUUAAAAAGAUGAAUUGGAAAAGCUAAUCUUUUCGGUCACAUUUAUCGGCAUCUUCAAGUCUUGUUUUGAAUUUAUUCGAGACUAGGAACACUCGAGAUAAAAGGCAAAAGCCAAUUGCAAUGUUGCAAUGACGCAUUCGUGAGUUUAACAUUAAAUUUAAACGAGAAAAACGAGUCCUUUCCUAUGUUUCAUGUAAUAAUGGUUUUGUAAUCAUACUCCGAAUCAAGUCAUUUUGAAUAGAGAAUUAAUUACUCAAAGUAGACCUGUAAAUGGAGAAUUUAGAAAAACAGAACAAAAUAAAAUGGUCAAAUCAAAACUAGUUGGGAAAAUGCCAAAUGUUUUGAGAGUUUAUCAAUCUAAUAACGUAUGGUCAGUUUUGUUAUAAUAGCAAAACCAAAAUAUGUAAAGAAAAUAAAUUAGUUAUGAUAUAAAUAGCAUCUGAAACCAAUAUAAGUGUUGUCCUUCCAUCGUUUUGAUUAGAUGUUAUCGCUCAUUGGAUUGAUUUCAACAACUCUGCCACGAUCGUUCAAAACCGUCAGACACUUCGAUAACUGGAUGCUCUUCUGUUUGAGUGGUGGGGCAGUACGAUCAUAGUGCAAGUUCGCGUUGUGGGUGACUGUCAGCAGUGCCAUAUGGUCGUUUCAGAAAGGUCUUUGUUUUGCCUGUUUCUGCCGGGCAGGGAGGCAAGUUAAAGAAACCAAGGGUUCAACAGUUACGGUAUUACUUUGUCGGUGUAAGUUGAGGUUCCUGCUUCUUCCCAGCUUGCUUCCUAAAUGGAGAGAGAAAAGGUAAAAUUUUGUCAGUGUAGACGGAUAGGUUGAUGCUAAACCCGUACCUGGAAUAAAAGGGAUCUCUGUUUCCAGUUGAACAUGUCUGAAAAAUUAAUCGUACCGGCGAUUUGUCUUGUUGGCCAGAUUGGAUCAAAUCUGGGUCAGAUCUUAUUUAAAUUGUAAAACAGUUAAAGACUGAAAGAAAAACCAUGACUCUGGUCUCAGGGAAGAGGCUUUUUAGGGAGGAGACAGAGAAAGUGAUCUGGGAAAAUAGAGCUUCAGCCAGGAGGGAGACAGAGAGAGAGAGAGACGUCUCUCCUUCAUGGUAUGUUGGGGAUAAGGACUUUUUAUUACAAAUCUUAUUUUAAUCUGCACUACGAAAAAGAUGCAUAAGCUUUUAAAGCUUCCAAAGUGCCCCACAAAAUGUAACAGGUUUGGUUUUGCUGCAUAUAUAUAAUUGAAAUCAGCCUUUUGUUCAAGAUGUUUAUAUGGUUAAAAAUUUAAGCCUUUAAUUAAAAGUUUUUUUAUUUACAGUGCUGUUUAAGGUGUAGAGAUGGUUCAUAGCGUUUUAUCAAUUUUGAGGGGAUACCUGAAGAGGUUAAAACUCCCUGUUUUUUUUUUUUUUUCUGUCUUCGGGAUUUAAGACCUGGGUGAGGGGUGGGAUACUUGUCAAUUAUAAUGUCAUGUAUUUAUCUUUUUGCAGUUUUUGCAGUCUAAAUGAGUAUUAUUUACUGAAAUUGAACUAAUGAUUGGACUUUUAUUGGCUUGCCAGUCCAUACGUUUUUACUAAUUGAUUGUGAUGAUUUUAGCAAUAAUUUUAAAUUCAUGGCUAUUUGAUAUAUACAUAUACAUACACAAAUUGUUAUCAUCUAUGUUCUAAAGAUGUAUCAUGUUUGCAUCCUUCACAGAACUAAAGUUUAUGCACCCACUGCAUCCAUCAAGAAUACAAUAGAACAAUACAAACAAAAAAGAUAAAACAAAAGAAGAAAUACAUGAUUUACAUGAAAAACCAUUCUUAAAAAUGAAGGAAAACUAUGAAAAAAAACCUCUAUAUAAAAUAAGGCGUAGUAGGUUUUCUAAGUUUUCAAACUUAAGGAGUCAACACUUCCAUUGCAUGUAAGAAUCUUCAUUUAUUCUUUUGAUGGUACAAAAAAUUUCUCUCAUACUCCCAUAAGCAUGUAGAACAAUUCCCAAAGACAAAUCUGUCCCUUCAAAAGAACAAAUGCAUACAAGGGCUUAAAAUGUUAGUAAAAACAUAUGGAGACGUUUAAAACUUCCUAUUGAAAUAUUACAUUUUACUUUACACAAGAAAGGCAAGAAUGAAUCAUCCCAAACAUGGAUGGAUUUAAAUUCAGAUCUCCCCUUGAAAUGCUCCUAAAGAGAACCUUUAUUUUACAUACUGUCUGGCACCAACUCUUCCUGGUUUCAACAAAUCUCGUAGUGUGUCUGUCAACAUUUUAGCAUAUCGUUUUCUGUUUGUCUCUCUUCGACUUUCACUUGUUGAUAUCUCGACUCUCAAGUUAAAGUGCUUGUGCUUCAAAUGAUAAGUUGGAUUCUUGGCUAAAUAUAUACUAUUUUAUCACAAUUAACCUCCCUCUUCUUUUGAAUUUAGUCCAAAUCUUUGAUAAUGUUAUUUUAUCCAUGGCAUUUCUUUAAAUGCUUUGACUAUGGUCAUAUGCUCGACUUCAGUAGGAGAGAGUACAACACGUUGUUGCAACUUAGAUUGCUAUAAACCUGCUUUCCAUGUAAAAGUGAACAUAACUUGAUUUAGAUUUUCUUGUAUCUCUGCUCAAAUCUACAUAUGUAGAUCUCUUAAUCUCUGGUAUAUUUGAGGAAAAUUGCAGCCUAAU